CCUANGGGAGGCAGCAGUGGGGAAUUGUUCACAAUGGGCGCAAGCCUGAUGACGCAACGCCGCGUGGGGGAUGAAGGUCUUCGGAUCGUAAACCCCUGUCGAAUGGGACGAAUAGCCAUCGGAUUAAUACCCCGGUGGAAUGACGGUACCGUUAAAGGAAGCCACGGCUAACUCUGUGCCAGCAGCCGCGGUAAUACAGAGGUGGCAAGCGUUGUUCGGAAUUACUGGGCGUAAAGGGCGCGUAGGCGGCCCUCUAAGUCAGACGUGAAAUCCCUAGGCUUAACCUAGGAACUGCGUCUGAAACUGGGGGGCUUGAGUUCGGGAGAGGGAUGCAGAAUUCCAGGUGUAGCGGUGAAAUGCGUAGAUAUCUGGAGGAAUACCGGUGGCGAAGGCGGCAUCCUGGACCGAUACUGACGCUGAGGCGCGAAAGCUAGGGUAGCAAACGGGAUUAGAUACCCCUNUANUC
rnacentral:rRNA from 1 species